CUCAGGACGAACGCUGGCGGCGUGCUUAACACAUGCAAGUCGAGCGGAGAUUGCAUUUAUGUAAUCUUAGCGGCGGACGGGUGAGUAACGCGUAGGCAACCUGCCUUGCACAGAGGGAUAACACCGGGAAACUGGUGCUAAUACCACAUGAUAUCAUAACAAGGCAUCUUGAAAUGAUCAAAGGAGAAAUCCGGUGCAAGAUGGGCCUGCGUCCGAUUAGUUAGUUGGUGAGGUAACGGCUCACCAAGGCGACGAUCGGUAGCCGAACUGAGAGGUUGAUCGGCCACAUUGGGACUGGGACACGGCCCAGACUCCUACGGGAGGCAGCAGUGGGGAAUAUUGCGCAAUGGGGGGAACCCUGACGCAGCAACGCCGCGUGAAGGAAGAAGGCCUUCGGGUUGUAAACUUUUUUGAUUGGGGAAGAAAAAAAUGACGGUACCCAAGGAACAAGCCACGGCUAACUACGUGCCAGCAGCCGCGGUAAUACGUAGGUGGCGAGCGUUGUCCGGAAUUACUGGGUGUAAAGGGCGUGUAGGCGGGAUUGUAAGUCAGAUGUGAAAUUCCAGGGCUUAACUCUGGAGGUGCAUCUGAAACUAUAAUUCUUGAGUGCUGGAGAGGAAAGCGGAAUUCCUAGUGUAGCGGUGAAAUGCGUAGAUAUUAGGAAGAACACCAGUGGCGAAGGCGGCUUUCUGGACAGUAACUGACGCUGAGGCGCGAAAGCGUGGGGAGCAAACAGGAUUAGAUACCCUGGUAGUCCACGCUGUAAACGAUGGAUACUAGGUGUAGGAGGUAUCGACCCCUUCUGUGCCGGAGUUAACACAAUAAGUAUCCCACCUGGGGAGUACGGCCGCAAGGCUGAAACUCAAAGGAAUUGACGGGGGCCCGCACAAGCAGUGGAGUAUGUGGUUUAAUUCGAAGCAACGCGAAGAACCUUACCAGGGCUUGACAUCCCUCGGAUAACAUAGAGAUAUGUUAGUCCUUCGGGACGAGGAGACAGGUGGUGCAUGGUUGUCGUCAGCUCGUGUCGUGAGAUGUUGGGUUAAGUCCCGCAACGAGCGCAACCCCUAUUGUUAGUCGCCAUCAAUAAGUUGGGCACUCUAACGAGACUGCCGGCGACAAAUCGGAGGAAGGUGGGGACGACGUCAAAUCAUCACGCCCCAUAUGUCGUGGGAUACACACGUACCACAAGGGUCACUACAAAGGGAACGCAAUACCGCAAGGAGGAGCAAAUCCCCAAAGGUGACCUCAGUUCGGAUUGUGG
rnacentral:rRNA from 1 species